GAGUGAACGCUGGCGGUAGGCCUAACACAUGCAAGUCGAACGGCAGCACAGUAAGAGCUUGCUCUUACGGGUGGCGAGUGGCGGACGGGUGAGGAAUACAUCGGAAUCUACUUUUUCGUGGGGGAUAACGUAGGGAAACUUACGCUAAUACCGCAUACGACCUACGGGUGAAAGCAGGGGAUCUUCGGACCUUGCGCGAUUGAAUGAGCCGAUGUCGGAUUAGCUAGUUGGCGGGGUAAAGGCCCACCAAGGCGACGAUCCGUAGCUGGUCUGAGAGGAUGAUCAGCCACACUGGAACUGAGACACGGUCCAGACUCCUACGGGAGGCAGCAGUGGGGAAUAUUGGACAAUGGGCGCAAGCCUGAUCCAGCCAUACCGCGUGGGUGAAGAAGGCCUUCGGGUUGUAAAGCCCUUUUGUUGGGAAAGGAAAGCAGCAGGUUAAUACCCCGCUGUUCUGACGGUACCCAAAGAAUAAGCACCGGCUAACUUCGUG
rnacentral:rRNA from 1 species